AUGGCGGUAGUCGGUGGGGAUGCCGACGUCGUCGAAGAGGAAGAAGAAGGUGUGGAGGCUCUCGGGGUGGUGGGAGAGGAAGUCGAAGACGCGCCAGUACUCCUGCACGUGGGACUUGGGGUUGGGCUUGAAGGCGUGGAUGACGUCGGGGAACUUGAUGCCGUCGCGGAUGAAGAAGACGGGGAAGUUGUUGCCGAGCAGGUCCCAGUUGCCCUCGCGCGUGUAGAACUUGACGGCGAACCCGCGCGGGUCGCGGAUCGUCUCGGGCGAGCCGCGCUCGUGGAUGACGGUGGAGAAGCGGACGAUGACGGGCGUGCGCGCCCCCGGCGCGCGGAGGAAGUCGGCGCAGGUGAGGCCGGUGACGUCGUGGGUGCACUCGAAGAAGCCCUUGGCGGAGGCGCCCCGGGCGUGCACCACCCGCUCCGGGAUGCGCUCGCGCGCGAAGUGGGCGAUCUUCUCCAGCAGGUGGUAGUCCUCCAGCAGGAUGGGGCCGCGGGGGCCGACGGUAAGCGCCUCGUUGUCGUUCCACACGGGCUGGCCGGCGUUCGUCGUCGUCGUCUUGGUGUCGAAGCUGCUCGACGGCCGGAACUGCACGCCCUUGCAGGGAUCCAUCCUUCCUUGAGUGAAGUAGCUCAGCUAAGCUGGGGGGGAGUGUGGCGAGCUCACUCACUCUCACUGCACUGA
rnacentral:rRNA from 1 species